GAUGAACGCUGGCGGCGUGCCUAACACAUGCAAGUCGAGCGAACCCUUCGGGGUGAGCGGCGGACGGGCGAGUAACGCGUGGGUAACCUGCCCUAUACACACGGAUAACGUACCGAAAGGUACGCUAAUACGAUAUGAUAUAAGAGAUUCGCAUGGAAUUCUUAUCAAAGCUCUGGCGGUAUAGGAUGGACCCACGUCUGAUUAGCUAGUUGGUAAGGUAACGGCUUACCAAGGGGACGAUCAGUACCCGACCUGAGAGGGUGAUCGGACACAUUGGAACUGAGACACCGUCCAAACUCCUACGGGAGGCAGCAGUGGGGAAUAUUGCACAAUGGGCGAAAGCCUGAUGCAGCAACGCCGCGUGAGCGAUGAAGGCCUUCGGGUCGUAAAGCUCUGUCCUCAAGGAAGAUAAUGACGGUACUUGAGGAGGAAGCCCCGGCUAACUACGUGCCAGCCGCCGCGGUAAAAC
rnacentral:rRNA from 1 species